ensembl:lncRNA
GCACCCUCGGCCCCGCCCCUAAGCCCGCCCACAGCGCGCCUGUACCCGCCGCGCCCCCACCGCCUAUUGACGCCCGGGGAUCUCCCACCUGGGCCGUGCCAAACUCAGUCUGGAGCGGCUUCGAGAGCAGGGGAGGGUCUCUGGGACUUUUGAUUCAGCCCUUGGGCCCAGAGUGGCCUCCUCUAGAACGGAUCUAGCGUGGACAAGCAUGGCAGUGUCCCUUCGGGGCUCACACCAGGGGGCCGACAAUGCGUUUCCCUGUACUGAAGAAGGGAGAGGCCUGGGACACGCUGCAAGGAGGAAACGAGGAAAGAGGCCAAGAACUAAGCUGGCCACAGAACUGAGAGGAGAGCUUGUGGGACCGUGUGCUCAAGGUAUUCAGCACACGCGCCACAGCUACAGAGCCUGUGCUCCCCAGGAGAGAAGCCCCCGCGGUGAGAAGCUCCUGCAGCAACGAAGACCCGCAGAGCCGAAAAGAAUUCAAUCUUCUUAAAAGCGAACGGUGGGUUGGCGGGAUGAACCUGCACUGUGUGUGCCCUGCCACACGGGGGCGCCAGGCUCGCCGGCAGACGGAAGCAUCUGCUGCGACCCCGCGUCCUCCGGGUCAGAACACCGCCGAGAGAAGAGGCCUCUCUCCCCUUCCUUCCUCCCUUCUUUUCCACCUUUUCCUGUGUACAGUCACCGCUGUUAAAAUAUACAGCCUCGAACAACGUC